AUUGUAAUAACCAACUCUAGUACAUUUCCUUUCAUUUUACAGAACAGUUACAUGUAUACCAUUUUACUUCAUUCUUAGCAAUAAAGCUGAGUAAGUCACCGCGGAUGGUUAUGAGUAUUGCCCUAGUUGGUGGCCCACUAGGUAUUUGGCAUGUGCAGCUUGCUUGGAUCCUUACAAUUCUGUAGUAUGGGGUCUAUGCCUUUAUCUGCUUUAUAGAGUAAUAGAAAAGCAGU
rnacentral:lncRNA from 1 species